rnacentral:rRNA from 1 species
UACGAAGGGGGCUAGCGUUGCUCGGAAUCACUGGGCGUAAAGGGUGCGUAGGCGGGUCUUUAAGUCAGAGGUGAAAUCCUGGAGCUCAACUCCAGAACUGCCUUUGAUACUGAGGGUCUUGAGUAUGACAGAGGUGAGUGGAACUGCGAGUGUAGAGGUGAAAUUCGUAGAUAUUCGCAAGAACACCAGUGGCGAAGGCGGCUCACUGGCCCGGUACUGACGCUGAGGUGCGAAAGCGUGGGGAGCAAACAGG